rnacentral:tRNA from 1 species
GCCUCUAUAGCUCAGUAGGAAGAGCGUUCGUCUCAUAAUCAAGACUACCACGUAACUCCAAGGAGUCAGCGAAAGGUCAGCAGUUCGAUCCUGCUUGGAGGCA